rnacentral:rRNA from 1 species
CAAGGCCUACGGGGGGCAGCAGUAAGGAAUCUUCGGCAAUGGACGAAAGUCUGACCGAGCAACGCCGCGUGAGUGAAGAAGGUUUUCGGAUCGUAAAACUCUGUUGGUAGAGAAGAACGUUGGUGAGAGUGGAAAGCUCAUCAAGUGACGCUAACUACCCAGAAAGGGACGGCUAACUACGUGCCAGCAGCCGCGGAAAUACGUAGGUCCCGAGCGUUGUCCGGAUUUAUUGGGCGUAAAG